rnacentral:lncRNA from 1 species
CCCACCCAUUCUCUCAGGGACGCCUCCUUUGAAUCCUUUCUUUCUCUUAACUCUCUCUCAACCCACCUCAAACCCUAGCUGCCACCUCUCACUAAAACCCUAAUCCAUGGCUUCCCAGGCUUAUCGGAGGCCUAUACCAGCCUCUUAUGGCUUCUACUUGCUCGUUCUUGAGGUCGUAUGAAUAGAUCUUGAAAGGUUUCGACCAAAACUUUGCUCGAUGACUAUUUUCCAGUUGUCUUUAACCUUUGUCCGGCCAGCCUUGGCUAUUCGACUUCGACCUUCGACUAUCCUGCUUAGAUCGAUAGUUCUCAAAGCCUUUUUCACCUCCUCGGUUUCUUACGAAACCCUAAACUCUAAGGUUCCUUCAAUUUAUUUUUCAGAUCUGCUCUAGAUCUAUGUGUGUUUGAACUUUCUAAGCAUGUUUCUUGAAGUUUCUCUAAUUUUUGCUUUCAAAACUCUUUAUUCUUAAUUAAGGGUUUUUCUAUUAAGUUACUUCAAAUCUCUUCUCUGAUUCCCGAAAUGUUCUGCUGUGUUAUUUUUCUGUCUGAGUUAGCAUGUUUAAAACCCUAAUUUUUGAUCUUUUGUUUGAGUUUCUUAGUCUUCUUGUUAACAUUCGUUUACCUUGUUUUUCUAUCUAAGUUAGCAUGUUGAAAACCCUAUUUUUUUUAGUUUAUUCGAGAUUCUGAAUUUGUUUGCUUGUUUCACUUGUUUAUCGCCUCUAAACCUAACUGAUUUUUGAAAACAAUAGUUCUUUG